GACGAACGCUGGCGGCGUGCUUAACACAUGCAAGUCGAACGGUGAACCUCUUCGGAGGGGCUCAGUGGCGAACGGGUGAGUAACACGUGGGCAACCUGCCCCCGGCUCUGGGAUAACUCCAAGAAAUUGGGGCUAAUACCGUAUGUUCACCGCUUCCCGCAUGGGUGGUGGUGGAAAGGGUUUCCGGCUGGGGAUGGGCCCGCGGCCUAUCAGCUUGUUGGUGGGGUAGUGGCCUACCAAGGCGACGACGGGUAGCCGGCCUGAGAGGGUGACCGGCCACAAUGGGAAUGAGAAAAGGCCCAGAAUCCUACGGGGGGGAGCAGUGGGGAAUAUUGCGCAAGGGGGGGAAGCCUGACGCAGGGACGCCGGGUGGGGGAUGACGGCUUUCGGGUUGUAAACCUCUUUCAGCGGGACGAAGCGAAAGUGACGGUACCUGCAGAAGAAGCACCGGCCAACUACGUG
rnacentral:rRNA from 1 species